GGGACUGAAAAGAAGUUUUUUCAAGAGAAAGGAAAGUGCUUGAAGUACAACGAAUUGAGAAGACGACGAAUUUUUAGCACCAAACAGUAGUUUAUAUGUAAAAUUAUAGGUAAUAAAAUUGGGAAACAUGUUCAUUUAUUUCAUUUGUUCCUUUUCUCGUUCCCUCUUUUAUAUUAGAUUAGAUCGUUGUUUCUCCUGCUAGAAUUGUUAUACAAAAGUCAUUUGGGGAGGGGGGGGGGCUUUACAGGUUGUUGUUCGGUGUGAGGCAAGUCUCCGUGUUGAGGGCCGUACUUUGACCUAUAAUGGUUAACUUUUUAUACAUAGUGACUAGGAUGGAGAGUUGUCUCUUUGUUUCAGGCAACUUUAACAAUAAUUUGUAAAUAUAACAAAUGCUACAGACAGGCAACUUAACCAAGUAUUUGUAAAUAUGCUUCAUGUUUUUAACAAGGAUUUGUAAAUAAACUGUAUAAAUUAAACAACCCAAAUAAGACCCGGUAAUGUGUUUAUCAAUCAUUACACAAGUUUUGUGUAAUUUAAAUUCGAUUUAUUUGUUCCGUUUAAACAAAUUAUUAUUUGUUAACAAGUUUAGUGAUUUUAAUCAUAUCACACAUUCGCUCCUUUCCAAUGAAAUAAGUUACAAGUGGUACAUCAGUAUCGUAUGUAAAUCACAGGAAACACUAGUCAAAUUCAGCGUAUACUUUUCCUCAAGAAAC
rnacentral:lncRNA from 1 species